UGUGUCCUGUUUGUUAAAGGCAUGCCGGCUACAGCAUUAAAGAGGGCCGGUUCUUAACAAAGGGAAAGAGAUAAAUGUAAAUAAGCUCACAUUUUCAGAAUGAGCGGUUUACUGUAAGCUGCGGCAGCCCAGAGUCUGCUACUUUGGGCUGGGCUAACCUUUCCCUGUUAAAAAAAAUAAUAAUGGAUAAAAAUAUGCACUUCCAAAGUGCAAGUUGCCCUUUUACAUGUUUAUUAGCUAAUUGUCUACAGGCAUGAGCACACUCUCUCAUCUAGCACACUCUUUUUUGGGGUAAGUCUCUUUGAGAAAGAUUUGAUUUGGGCGUUUGGGGGUGGGGGAUGGCGUAACAAACUUCAGUGGAAACACUGAUGCUUUGAGUGUUUUGGGAAAGAAGUUAGACUUCAACUCUGAAGUGCUGAACAGGGAUCGUCGUGUUGAAUGGUAAAAAAAAAACAAAAACAAAAACAAGAAUUUCUAUUGUUUUGGCAAUAAUAUUGUUUCCGUGGAAGAGACAGGAUUUUCAGGCUGUUGUUUCAUGUAAACACAGUUGUCCUAAAGAGCUGAUUUUUAAUCACAGGGUAGAACAAUUUUGGCUAGCUUUGUAUUUCUUUGGUUUACAAUUGAUUGUGAGCUAAUGUGGCUUCUAUUAUGAUGAGGUUUUUUCUAGUAAAACUAUACAUGACAUGCCUUUGAUGCUUAAUUGAUUUAUGGAGAAUGUGACAUUUGCUAUAUUGAAUAAUUCAUGAACUUGCCCAUAAAGGAAGAAUCAUGUUUGAAUGAGAAACUAAUUCUGGCAUAAAUAGAAUUCGCUAUUAAUGUGAAAGUUUUUGCUUUUGCCAUAAAAUGCAACAUUGUGACAUCUUUAAAAUUCUCUUCCUGUAUAUCCUGAAUGCUUUUAAGAUUUUUAGUAAAAAGAUCUUAUUGAAUUGAUAAAUAUUAUAUUUUGUUCAGUUUGUUUCAGAAAAUAUAAUAAUGUAAUUUAUCAUGAUUUCUGUAUGAAAAAUGACCAGACAAAUCCAAAGUUUAGAACAUUACAGAGCUUGGUGGGGUUAUUCAUUUGGCUACUUUACCAAAUUAAACCACCUUUUUUUUUUCUUGACUAAUAUGGAGACAACAAUAAUAACCUACUAUCCAAACAAAUUUAUCCAGUGGCUUUGCAACUUGUUCAUUUUUCAGAACAAAAUUCCAAACAAUAUACCCACCAAAAUAGAUUAUAAAUCCCUUUGCAUUGUCGCAGAAGAAAAGUUGCACUCUUUCUAAAAAGGAUGAGUUCAGUUGAUAAACCUGAUGUCCUCUACAUUCUAAAGCACCUCCUGCCAAUCAGAGAUGUGAAUGAAAGCCCUAUUGGAACAAUCAGGCCAGUCUUUCAGAAUGUGUACUCUCUGUAAGUUAAAGACAGGAAUGGGGAGAUGCCUCAAAGCAACACCCAGGCCCAGCUUAGCUAAAGCUUGAUCUAUUCAAUCCCCUUUGAGGGAAAAUGCAGUGAGAUUUGUUGCCCUUGCUGUGAUUUGGUCAGAAUCUAAUUGUGCAGUUGCUUUUGUCUGCCUAUCAUCAUAUAUGGUCUGCUGUUGACCUUUUUCAAGGGGAGGAAAAAAAAUAAUAUAUUUGGGAAUAUUGGUACUGAAAUUGGAAGCUGAGAACCCAGCCUCACUUGUAGUAGGUUUAUUGGUAUAUUGGUUAUCAGAACCAUGAACAGAAUAAGUAAUCUGCUGAUUUUGUAUAGUUAUGUUCUGAAGUAUGCUGUUAAUCUCAUAUUUUGAGGGGUAAGGUGACCAGGUAGAAAGGAUCAAGAAUUGAGAUCUAGACGAUUAGAGUUGAUAUGCUUGCUGAAUAGGCAGGACAGAGGGUGAAGAAAAUAAGGGGAUUUGGAAGACAUGAGGGUGUAAAUGGCAUCUUGCUCUGUGAUUCUUAGUGUUUUGUGCUAAUUAAUAAUAUUUACUUCUGAUAUUCAAAUAAAUCUAGCAGUCAUUUCAUUGCAUUUAAUAAAAUUUAAUGAUUGUCAUUACAGACCUUCAAGAAUUAAAACUCUUUUUUUUUGCAGUGACAAGUGGAAGCAGGUGAAAAUAACUAGCAGGGGAUAACCAGAGAAGCCUCUACCAUGGCAACAAUUGAAGGCUUCUGUCAGUCAGGGCCAAAGGUGGAAGACAAAGAGAAACUGAGGCCCAGAAAGGGACUGUGAUGUGUUCUCCCAUAGUUACCUAGUUAUGGAACAAAAUGUGGCUAUAUAGAAUUAAUAUCAGAAAUGAAAACUUCUGAGUGUUUGAACUUCCUAUUUGCUUGGAUUUCCAAAUUUUAAAAAUUUCUUUAUAUCAAUUAUGAAAACCAUAAAAUAAAGAAAUGUUAAUGUUUCUGUCUUUAUUUCAGAAACCGCAGUAAAACAAUAUUCAUUUCAUUUCAGAAAUACUGCUUUCUGGAGGAGUGUGAAAACUAUUCUCCUUAAUAUUA
rnacentral:lncRNA from 1 species